CUUGGUAGGAAGCAGCGCAUCUGACUUGGUGAUUCGAAGGAUGCUGUCCACAACUUUGACAAACUGCCUAGCAUGUUAUUUCAUUUGGGCUCGCACGGGAAAGAAGAAGCCAUUCAGAGAAACCACUGUGCAAGACUACAUGUUUGGAUUUGCUCAUACUCCCUAUGUCUGCAGCCAGCUCUGUACUGAAAAGACACUUAACUUUGUUAAGUGUUAGAUGGAAGAUUGCAUGCCAAAAAAAUAAACCGGUUGCCACUGACCUCCACACAGCUGCAGCUCGGCAAUUUGACAGGAAGCUGUCCCAUCUGGCCUUCACUGACACCCUCAAAAUAUGGCUCCGUCAUGCUCCAGAGUGGGAGGGUGGCAUUAAAAGGAGAGCAAGACAAACUUUAAAGAAUGUAUUUAUCUGUAUUAUAUUUACUUA